UGUCUUCUCGUUUACUCCGUCACAUGCAAAGGAUCGAUAUAGACGAAGGACGAUGACUCUCUCGGUUGAGUCGACGUCUCCUCCGUAUUCUCCGUGAGAAGAAGGAUCGACACCCAGCACCAACGAGGCACCGAGAGCGAAGCUCGUCAGUACGACGACGAACGGUCCGAGUUUGGUGGGUUUGGCUGCGCCACCGGAAAGGUGCAAAGUAUUCAGCAGAUAAAUCACGAAGGGGAGGUGAACCGAGCUCGGUACAUACCUCAGAACCCUUUUGUGAUUGCUACCAAGACGGUUAACGCGGAGGUGUAUGUGUUUGAUUACAGCAAGCAUCCUUCUAAGCCGCCGCUUGAUGAGCUUGUAACCCUGAUUUGAGGCUGAGAGGUCACAGCUCUGAGGGCUAUGGCUUUUCUUGUAGUAAGUUCAAGGCGGGGCAUUUGCUUAGUGGGUCUGAUGACGCUCAGAUCUGUUUGUGGGAUAUUAACGCUACUCCUAAAAAUAAGGUCAUUGAUGCUCAGCAGAUCUUUAAGGGUCAUGAAGGCGUGGUGGAAGAUGUUGCAUGGCAUAUGAGUCACGAACACCUGUUUGGAUCCGUUGGAGAUGAUCAGUACCUCUUAUAUGGGAUCUGCGUUCUCCAUCUGCCAGUAAACCUAUACAGUCUUUGGUUGCUCACUCCAUGGAGGUGCGUUUGCAAGGAACUGAAUUUUAAGAGCAGAGAAGGUUCUCCAAUACCAGGGGUAGAGCCAUACAUACCUUUUAACAUUAACCCAGCAGGGAUGCAGCCUGUUCUUACAACCACUUACCUCUUGGCAUUUUCCAGCAUUAUUGCAAGCAUUGUGGGUUCACCGUUCUUGUUACACGUGAAGGAGAUAUUAAACCCUGAAAGCACAGUUGGGGCACCGCUAUGGGUUUACUACUCAGUCUAUGCGUUUUUGUGUUUCUCUUCAACAUCUUUGACAUUGUGAGUGUUACUCUUUUUUUUUUCUCAGUCUGAGUUUCAAUCUUCUAUGAAAAUUAAACAUGAUUAGUUAUGCAUGUUUGUGUCACAAGAUGGUUUUGGUUUUGUAUGUUUGUGACACGAGAUGGGAUUGUAUAUGCAAGUCACACGAAUUUUAUUCAAGUCACAAGUUGGUUUUGGGUCUUC